UACGUAGGGGGCAAGCGUUGUCCGGAUUUAUUGGGCGUAAAGAGCUCGUAGGCGGUUUGUCGCGUCUGCUGUGAAAACCCGAGGCUCAACCUCGGGCCUGCAGUGGGUACGGGCAGACUAGAGUGCGGUAGGGGAGAUUGGAAUUCCUGGUGUAGCGGUGGAAUGCGCAGAUAUCAGGAGGAACACCGAGUGGCGAAGGCAGAUCUCUGGGCCGUAACUGACGCUGAGGAGCGGAAAGCAUGGGGGAGCGAACAGG
rnacentral:rRNA from 1 species